AUACGUAGGGUGCAAGCGUUAAUCGGAAUUACUGGGCGUAAAGCGUGCGCAGGCGGUUUUGUAAGACAGAGGUGAAAUCCCCCGGCUCAACCUGGGAACUGCCAUUGAUACUGCAAGGCUUGAGUGCGGGAGAGGGGGGCGGACUUCCGCGUGUAGCGGUGAAAUGCGUAGAUAUGCGGAGGAACACCGAUGGCGAAGGCGAUCCCCGGAGCGUGCUCUGAGGCUCAUGCACGAAAUCGGGGGGAGCAAACAGGAUUAGAUACCCUGGUAGUCCUGGCCCUAAACGAUGAAAACUGGUUGUUGGGGAUUUAUUUUCUCAGCGUCGAAACGAAAACGUGAAGUUGACCGCCCGGGGAGUCCGGCCCCAAGGUUAAAACGCAAAGGAAAUUUGGGGG
rnacentral:rRNA from 1 species